AAGUCAGGCGUCCACCUUGAGAAUGAGGAUGAGAAAUUGAAGAAGUCAGGAGUCCACCUGGAGAAUGAGGAUAAGAAUUGAAAAAGCCAGGCGUCCACCUGGAGAAUGAGGAUGAAGAAAGAAAAGAAGCAGUCAAGGCACCCACCUGAAGAACGAGGGAAUGAAAUUGAAGUGUUGAAAUCAAAAUCCCGCUCAUAUGAAAAAGGAGCACAUUUAGAAUCAAUAAAGCAGAGGAGUCCAACAAAAUCCCCAACAAGAAACAACAAGAGUUCCAAAAGGAAUACGGAAUAAGACAAAUGCCCAAGAGUCACCAAGAUAUCAAGACAACAAGAAACGCAAGGGCAUGAUCUAGAUAAGAUUUUAUAAUUCAUGUACCAUAGUCUAGUUUAAUUUUGUAUUUCCUUUAAAGUAAGGUGUAAUAAGGAGGUUAGCAAGCAGUAAAAACAGCACGAAGCAGCAGUAACAUCACAGUCCCACGGUAGUCCCAGCUACCCAAAACUUCCCGAACUACAUUGACCUGAUUCCUUUAUAGCCAAGGAUAUGU
rnacentral:lncRNA from 1 species